rnacentral:rRNA from 1 species
GACGAACCGAGCGAACGUUAUUCGGAAUCACUGGGCUUAAAGGGCGCGUAGGCGGGCGAUCAAGUCAGGGGUGAAAGCCCCCAGCUCAACUGGGGAAGUGCCUCUGAUACUGGUCAUCUCGAGGGAGGUAGGGGCGUGCGGAACUUCCGGUGGAGCGGUGAAAUGCGUAGAUAUCGGAAGGAACACCGGUGGCGAAAGCGGCGCGCUGGACCUCUUCUGACGCUGAGGCGCGAAAGCCAGGGGAGCGAACGGG